GACUCAGUGCAACAUGGAGGGACGUCUGGCCCUAUCUCCCAGGAUUUUAAAGGAAUUUACCCUUGGACCUAGCAACCCCCCUUCCAGGCUCCCAUGAUACACAGAUUUACCUGUGAGUGUGUUCAGUGUAUGCAAAAACUGUUCACUGCGGGAUUGCAGUAGCCAAAGGUGAUGCUCUUUGAAAUACACACUGGGAAAGGCAGUUCAGGCUGGGAAGCCGAGCUACAUUCCCUUCUGCUGGGCCUCGUGCCGGCUGGGCUUUGGGCAGCAACAUUCUCUGUCACAGAAGCCAGGGGCCGGGACAUGGCAAGGGUGCUCUGAAUGCCAAGGAGAGGAUGGAGAGGACUCGGGAUUUUCUCUGCUAC